AGUACAGAAAAGCCUCUUCAUGCCAUAAUGGAGAUGUGGUGCUGGAGAGUGCAAGGGGCAGCUUCCAGGAGAUGACUGGGCUGGUGCUAUGGUUUCUCCACUGCUGCUGCCCAUGGAAAUGUGCGUCCCUGCAGGGGCUCGGCGUAUAUGUGAGGAGGAAGAGACAGCUCCCCGAGAGCCGGGCUUGUUAAUUCAUCAUCAGUGAAUUAUGGCCGUUUGGACGCCCAAGAGCCCUGGAAAGUGAAGCUCUGUGCUGGACGGGGCACAACCAUUUUGUAACAGCGCUGCAAAAUGCCCUGAAGGAACAUACUCAGCUUGGGGACUUCAUAGCAUCCGAAUGCAGCCCUAGAGAGGUUUCCCCCCCCAGUUAUUUCAGAUGGGGGGGAUCGAGUGCGGAGGCUCACAGCCCCCUGCCAGGGUGCAGAAGCAGCCAGGGACAGAAGGGGGAAUCCGGCCGGAGCACGUUUAGGAGGAGUCAAGUAAACUGCAUGGACACCGCAACCAUCACGCACGAACCCAGGCAGCGUCAGCGGUGGCGUCCCCUGUGGACUCACCUGUCCUCUCCAAUUCUGUGCCCACCAGAGGAGACAGGAGGUGGGAAACCUCUGGGUACCUGAAUGCGGGGGCUGAUGAUGGAGAACUCUGGGAACCCGCUCGGCCGAGAGGGCUGCAAGGCUGGAUUGUGGUGCCACAGGAGAACAAAUAAACAGGGGAAAGUCUCCUGAGAGCUGAAGCCUUACUGGAGUCUUAAAAGUAAAUCAUUUU